UCCUCUCAUGAGACAGUUUCCAGGAAAAAAAAUCACAUGACACAACAGAGUCUCCAAAGGAACUGGAAGUUUCUACUUCGCUUCCCCAGCAAAUCCCCAGUAUGGGGUAAGAGGUCAUCCACCCCAUCUGGGCUGCAAUUUUGUCUGUUGUGAUCUUGUGCAGGUGGCCACAACUUCUUUGAGCUCACAAAUGUGACAGCCACGGCGUGUCCAGAAGGUAGCAUGUUGCAGCAUGCCUCCCUACCCUUUGGCUUUUCUGCUUUGUCUUCCUUGAUGUUCUCUGAGCCUUUGGUUGGGUGAAGAGUUGACAAAGGCAUUCUGUUUGGCGCCUUGCCAUGGAUAUCGAGUUUUCAUACUGUCAUUUGUUACAAAGACUGUAUGUACUUUUCCAUUGAGCUUCCUGGGGGCCUUUAUCAGAAAUCAGCUAUGUACCUGUGAAGAUUGGUUUCUGGACACUUCAUCCACGGAUACUGUCCUCUGUGUACAUCUGAGAUGAACAGUGCAAUGUCUGAAGCUCUUUGUUGGCUCACAUCAGAACGGCAAAGACGAAUGGCCAAUCCUACAACACUCCCUAAGUAUUGGAAGGAGACAAUGACGCCCGUUGGUCACCCAAAGCAGGGUCUCACUACAUAGCUCUACUUGGCCUGGACUUGGCUUUUUAGACCAGAGUAACCUUGAACUCACAGACAUCCACCUGCCUUGGGAUUAAAGGCACCGAUAGGAUAUUGUACUCGUUGAAUGGACCUGAAUAGGCACAAGACAUCAAAACCAAGUUCUCGGCACAAAGGAGGUUUAUUUGCCCCAGAAGAGCAGAGAAUAAGAGAAAAGAUAGAAAUGAAGCACAAGGAAGAAAGGAAAAGAGAAUCAAGCCAGUGGGAUUUUCUCAUUAGAUGGUUACCGUGGGAACACAGAGGACAAUCAGCGGUGACGACUGCAUACACUGGAUUGUGGAAAGAAGAGUGUCUCAUGGACCAACUGGUGAAGAGAUGCAGUCGUGGGCAUCUUAAAAGGGCCACUGGUUGCUUCUCGGCAUGCGACAAGAUGCUGGGGCUCCCAACAUGCUCCUAACUGCAAGACCUCACUGGAAUGUGGAGGAGUCCUUUCUGCUUAAACUUGGUUGAAGAGGAUAGAGAUCCUCUUUCUCCAAAUGCAUGCUGAGGUUUACUCCUGAGGUGCAUGCACACUGGGAAGCUUCCAGAACUUCAGUGGCAAAGACACUGACAUCAUGGGCAAUGCUGUCUGAUCAUGCAGGGCAGGUAUUCCAAGGAUUGUUUAUGACAAACCGUACUGAGUCAUGCACACUUAAGAUUUAUGCAGUGCUUGACCACUGAGAUCUCAUUUCGUGAGGUCUCAAGAGCCUCAAGAUGCUUCCGGAUGGUUCGGUUUUCUGCUGUUACAGCAAAAGAAGCUUAAGCAUAAUCCUGGCAUAGGUUUCAGCCUUGCAUCUUGGCUGAAUUUUGGAAGGAGUUUUCAUCUUCCUUAUUCUUUCUUCUCCCAGGAAGGACUCCCUGGACCCUGUACAUUCUUCAUCUAGACUUGUUGCCCUAGGAAACUGAACACAGCUAUGAGUUUUGCUGGCUCCAAUCCUGUGUUUUUUUCUGGCAACUUUCACAGGUACUGGAGACAGAUGGCCAAGGAGUCAGAAGUUUGGUCCCAAAAGGAAGGCUGGAGACAAACAAAACAUGUCCUGAGAGUGCAGGGGAAAACAGCAGUCAUUUCUGUUCACAGUGCUUAAGAUCUCAUAGCCACCUUACGCUUGAAAUCGCAUCCUUGGCUUUCCAUGAGCUUAGAUGAUUACGGUCACCUUUCAGUUCAGUAGUUUUUCAAAUAGAUUCCCAUAAUGCAUCUGUUAGCAGAUGCCGUAGCAAUGGAAAUCUCAUUUGAAAAGAUCAUCUCUACACAAUGCAGAGCCUGAUGUGUACUGGUGUUUCUACUAAUUCACUAUAGACCAUCAGGUUUUCCACCUUCUAUAUUAAAUCUAGAUAUAAUUCAUCAAUUAAAAAUGCCUUUCCUCUUAGAGACAGACGUCUUUUGAGAAGUCUCCUAAUAUUUGCAUGUACGAGGUCAGCCGUUGCCACCAUUUCUGCAGUUAUCUGGCUGCCAACAGUUGCCUCUCUGAGCUCAAAAGCUUCAACGCCUUGGGGCGGCUUUUGUGUUGGCGUUGUGAAUUUGUAGGCACAUGGAGAAAGCUGGAUGCUGAAACUCUGCAACAAGCCGUGCCCUGCUUUAUUUUUAUCCUAAUGGCUACAUUUAGAGUUGUGUGAUUAUGGGAGAAAGGCUCUUACUGAACCUGUUUUGGCUAGGCUUCCUGGACAGUAAGCCCCUUAGAUCUUGUAUCCAUUCCCAGCAUUGAAUAACGGGCACACACCACCAUGCCUGUUGUCGUAAUUUCUGUUCUAAUGCUGCAAAGAGACUCUAUAGACAAGGUAACUUACAGAAGAACUGGGGACUUGCUUACAGUUUCUGAGGGUUGUCUAUUCUCAUCAUUGCUGGGUGUGCGGUGGUAGGCAGGCAAUGUGCUAGAGAAGUGGCUAAAAGUCCACCCCCAGUGACAUACCUCCUCCAACAAGGUCACAUCUCCUAAUCCUUCCUAAACAGUUUCACUAAGUGUGGACCAAGCAUUCAAAUAACUGACCCCAUGGGAGUUAUACUCAUCCAAAACACUAUAUUAUAUCCCCUGGUCCUUACAGGCUUGUAGACAUAUCACAACCCAAAAUGUAUUUAGUUAAACUUCAAAAGUCCUCUAUCACAGUCUCGACACUGUUUAAGAGUCUAAAGUAUCUUCUUCGCCUCAAGGCAAUCUCUUGUAAUCCCUUGUAAAAUCAAAAGGCAGAUCAUAUACUUCCAACAUAAAAUAGCACAGAAUAUAUAUCACCACUCUAAAAAGGAUGAAAAGGGCAUAAUGAUCGUGAAGAAAUGCUGGACCACACCAAGACUGAAAACCAGCAGGGCAAAAUCCAAAUUCUGUAACUCCAUGUCCGAUGUUAAGGGGUUCUUUAGAUGCCUCUUUCCUUCCAGCUUUGCUGACUAUUGCACACUUCUCUCUCUUUGGCUGGUUUCACAUGCUGUCCGCAGCUCUCCUUGGCAGGUGACCCAUAGCUCUGGCAUCUCCAACGUCUUGGGUCUCCACUCAAGGUUUGGACCUUCAGAGCUUCAUUCAAUGGCCUCUCUGGGCCUCCAUGCAGAAACUCUCCUGUCACAGGUCUAGCCUUGACAGGAGAUUCCACAGCUUGUUUUUCUUGUAUCCUUGUCUUUAAAGCCAGAACCACAAUGUGGCUGAAACUGUCAAGUUCUGUGGUCUGCUGGGCUUGGAAAUUGGCCCCUUCCUUGAAUUACAUUUACUAUAAGAUUUAAGGUUGAUGUCUAGGACUAGAAAAUCCCUAAGCUGUCUUCUUUCAUGGGUUGCAGGAUUAGCUGGGUGGAGUCUUGUCCUGAGGUUACAGCUCCUUUUAUUCCAUUUAGCAUCAGGCUUUUCUUUAAACUUCUUUAUCCGUUUGAGCACCAGACUUGGCUCCAUCACUAGAUCUCCUGAUUCUCCUUUUCCCUGCAAACUGUACCAUCUGUGUUUCUCUUUGGCCCACUUGCUCCUUUUCACUGUAGAUCUGUAGAAGGGUGAUAACUAAUAAUCAUGUGACCUGGUCAAUACUCGGCUGUCUUGAAAGCUCCUUUGCCAACCACAUUAAUCCAAAACUCUUCAAUUUAGCCUCAGCAGACUUUUAGCACAAGGGCUAAAAGCAGCCAUUUUCCCCCAAAAUAUCACAAUAGACAGUUGAUACUAUUCUUCCCCUCUGAAAUCUCUUGAGCCAGGUCUGCUUGGUCCACAUCUCCCUCAGCACCUCUUCUGUGCCUCUACUAGGGUGGCCCAUUAAUCCCCGCUUAAAGUGUUCAACAUCUUUUCUAAUCCAAAGUCCCAAAGUCGUUCAUAUUUCUUUAACAAAAAGCCUGGUCAGGCCUGUCACAGAAAUGUCACAUUCUUGCUCCAGCUUCUGACUUUGUUACUGUUCUAUGGCUGUAAUGAGGUAUUGUUACAAUGGCAACUUAUAGAAGAAAGCAUUUAAUUAGGGACUUGCUUAUAGUUUUAGAGGUAAUAGGUUAUCUUUCCCAAAGAAAUAUUCCAGCUGAAUUAAAAGAAGAAAUAAAAGGCAUUUGGGGGAAGUUCGCCAGCCUCAGGGGAUGAGACUGGAAAAUGUCAUGGGUACACUAUGUCGUGGAAGGUUUUUAUAGAUUGUAGAUGAAGAAAAAUGACAUGUCUGUCACACACUGGGUUGGUGCCCAGGGAUGGUCAUCUUGGGCAGGGGCUUAGGUGACUGGCAACUUCAGGUGACUAAGGUUGGGGCAGCCAUCAGGAAAGUGGGACUGAGGUUUGGCACCCUUUUGUAUUCGGAGGAAUGGUAUUUACUGGAUCGUGUGUGGGUUACAAGCCAGGGACUCCAACCAAACAAGAGCAUGGUGGCAGGCAGGCAGGCAGGUAUGGUGCUAGGAUAGUAGCUGAGAGAUUUUACAUCCAGAUUCAUAGACAGCAGGCAGAGAGAGAC
rnacentral:sRNA from 1 species